rnacentral:rRNA from 1 species
UACGGAGGGUGCAAGCGUUAUCCGGAUUUACUGGGUUUAAAGGGUGUGAAGGCGGACUUUUAAGUCAGGGGUGAAAUCCCGAGGCUCAACCUCGGAACUGCCUUUGAUACUAUUGGUCUUGAAUGUUGUUGAGGUGGGCGGAACGGGUCAUGUAGCGGUGAAAUGCAUAGAUAUGACCCGGAACACCGAUUGCGAAGGCAGCCCGCUAAGCAACUAUUGACGCUGAGGCACGAAAGCGUGGGGAUCAAACAGG